rnacentral:rRNA from 1 species
CCCUACGGGGCGCAGCAGUGAGGAAUAUUGGUCAAUGGGCGAGAGCCUGAACCAGCCAAGUCGCGUGAGGGAGUACUGCCCUAUGGGUUGUAAACCUCUUUUGUCGGGGAGCAAAAGCCGGACGUGUCCGGCUGUGAGAGUACCCGAAGAAAAAGCAUCGGCUAACUCCGUGCCAGCAGCCGCGGUAAUACGGAGGAUGCAAGCGUUAUCCGGAUUUAUUGGGUUUAAAGGGUGCGCAGGCGGAUUUUUAAGUCAGCGGUAAAAAUUCGGGGCUCAACCCCGUCCGGCCGUUGAAACUGGGGGCC